rnacentral:rRNA from 1 species
UACGGGGGGGGCAAGCGUUGUUCGGAAUUACUGGGCGUAAAGGGCGCGUAGGCGGUUUGCUAAGUUGGAUGUGAAAACUCUGGGCUUAACCCAGAGCCUGCAUCCAAAACUGGCAAACUUGAGUACUGCAGGGGAGACUGGAAUUCCUGGUGUAGCGGUGGAAUGCGCAGAUAUCAGGAGGAACACCGGUGGCGAAGGCGGGUCUCUGGGCAGUAACUGACGCUGAGGAGCGAAAGCGUGGGGAGCGAACAGG